GACGAACGCUGGCGGCGCGCUUAACACAUGCAAGUCGAACGGAAAGGCCUGCUUUCCCUUGUGGAUUGCGGGUACUCGAGUGGCGAACGGGUGAGUAACACGUGAGUGAUCUGCCCCCAACUUGGGUAUAAGCCUGGGAAACUGGGUCUAAUUCCCGAUAGGACUGCAGGGUGGUGCCUGUGGUGGAAAACGAUUUUCUAGUGGUCGGGGAUGAGCUCGCGGCCUAUCAGCUUGUUGGUGGGGUAAUGGCCUACCAAGGCGGCGGCGGGUAGCCGGCCUGAGAGGGUGGACGGCCACAUUGGGACUGAGAUACGGCCCAGACUCCUACGGGAGGCAGCAGUGGGGAAUAUUGCACAAUGGGCGGAAGCCUGAUGCAGCGACGCCGCGUGGGGGAUGACGGCCUUCGGGUUGUAAACUCCUUUCGACCGCGAGGAAGCCACCUGGUUGGAAGGGUGGUGACGGUAGUGGUAGAAGAAGCACCGGCUAACUACGUG
rnacentral:rRNA from 1 species